rnacentral:tRNA from 1 species
GGUACCAUAGCUCAGUUGGUAGAGCAAAGGACUGAAAAUCCUUGUGUCGCUGGUUCGAUUCCAGCUGGUACCACAA